GCAGGAUGUUGUCGGGUUUGAUGUCCCUGCCCAGCGGGAAGAUGGGAGUGGAGGGAUAGGUCCCUCUCCAGGCGCUGCCCCGCUGGGCUCCACCAUUUGUCCAGGCCCCACCCCCAGCCCCUGAGGCGCCCACCUGUGCACGUAGCCCAGCCGGUGCACCGAGUCUAUGGCCAUGACAAUCUCCGCCAGGUAGAAGCGCGCCAUCUCGGCCGGGAUCCGCUCCCCGAACUUGCUCAGCAGCGUCAGCAGGUCCCCGCCCACGUAGUACUCCAUGACCAGGCAGCGAUUCACUCCCCGAGAGAAGAGAACCCAGAGGCCUCCUGAUGCUCAGAGUGUAGAGCUCCCCAGAUACCCACACAGACCCUGCCGAGCUCUCCCAUUCCAGCCUUGGGGUGGAGGUUCGACCCCGUAGUCAUCGGGCCGGGACUCACCAGGUAGUUCUCAUCCUGGAAGGCGAAGUGCAGCU